UGUUAAAAAUUUCAUCAAUCUGUACAGUUAAAAAUUGGCGUGGCUAACAGAAUAACCAGGCAGUGAAACAUGACAUGUUACGUGUACAUCAUGUUGACGUACAAGGACUGGUUGUGAAUAAUAAAAUUGGAUGAAAUUUUUAACA
rfam:Gossypium raimondii Chr07_contig_1441, whole genome shotgun sequence.